rnacentral:lncRNA from 1 species
UAUCAGGAUGAGGACUGCCUGGUUGCUUACAUAACAAAUUACUGUCACCAGACCACACAGGGAUCCUUCAACAUUAUACCAGCUCACACAGGGAUUAUUCAACAUAACACCAGAUCACACAGGGAUCCUUCAACAUUAUACCAGCUCACACAGGGAUUAUUCAACAUAACACCAGAUCACACAGGGAUCCUUCAACAUAACACCAGAUCACACAGGGAUCCUUCAACAUUACACCAGAUCACACAGGGAUCCUUCAACAUAACACCAGAUCACACAGGGAUCCUUCAACAUUACACCAGAUCACACAGGGAUCCUUCAACAUUAUACCAGAUCACACAGGGAUCCUUCAACAUAACACCAGACCACACAGGAAUCUUUCAACAUUGCACACAGGGAUCCUUCAACAUUACACCAGACCACACAGGAAUCCUUCAACAUUACACACAGAAAUCCUUCAACAUUACACACAGGAAUCCUUCAACAUUACUCACAUGAAUCAUUCAACAUUACACACAGGGAUCCUUCAACAUUACACCAGAUCACACAGGGAUCCUUCAACAUAACACCAGAUCACACAGGGAUCCUUCAACAAAACACCAGAUCACACAGGGAUCCUUCAACAUAACACCAGAUCACACAGGGAUCCUUCAACAUUAUACCAGCUCGCACAGGGAUCCUUCAACAUUAUACCAGCUCACACAGGGAUCCUUCAACAUAACACCAGAUCACACAGGGAUCCUUCAACAUAACACCAGAUCACACAGGGAUCCUUCAACAUUACACCAGAUCACACAGGGAUUAUUCAACAUUAUACCAGCUCACACAGGGAUCCUUCAACAUAACACCAGAUCACACAGGGAUCCUUCAACAUAACACCAGAUCACACAGGGAUCCUUCAACAUUAUACCAGAUCACACAGGGAUCCUUCAACAUAACACCAGAUCACACAGGGAUUCUUCAACAUUAUACCAGAUCACACAGGGAUCCUUCAACAUAACACCAGACCACACAGGAACCUUUCAACAUUACACACAGGGAUCCUUCAACAUUACACCAGACC